rnacentral:rRNA from 1 species
UGGCGAACGGGUGAGUAACGCGUGAGGAACCUGCCUCAAAGAGGGGGACAACAGUUGGAAACGACUGCCAAUACCGCAUAAGCCCACGACCCGGCAUCGGGAAGAGGGAAAAGGAGCAAUCCGCUUUGAGAUGGCCUCGCGUCCGAUUAGCUAGUUGGUGAGGUAACGGCCCACCAAGGCAACGAUCGGUAGCCGGACUGAGAGGUUGAACGGCCACAUUGGGACUGAGACACGGCCCAG